rnacentral:rRNA from 1 species
GACGAACGCUGGCGGCGUGCUUAACACAUGCAAGUCGAACGGAGUGGCGAACGGGUGAGUAACACGUGGGUGAUCUGCCUUACACGUCGGGGUAAGCUUGGGAAACUGGUUCUAAUAACGGCUAGUGCAAGAUGAGCUCGCGGGUUAUCAGCUUGUUGGUGGGGUAAUGGCCUACCAAGGCGUCGACCGGUAGCCGGCCUGAGAGGGGUGACAGGCACAUUGGGACUGAGGGACGGAGCAGACGGGUACGUGAGGCAAUAGUGGGGAAUAUUGCACAAUGGUGCGGAGCCUGAGGCAGCGACGCUGGGUUUGUGAUGAAGGUUUUCGGGGUGUAAACGCCUUUCGACAGUUACGCGGUACCUGUAGAAGAAGCACCGGCUAACUACGUGCCAGCAGCCGCGGUAAUUC